rnacentral:rRNA from 1 species
GACGAACGCUGGCGGCGUGCUUAACACAUGCAAGUCGAACGGAAAGGCCCUGCUUUUGUGGGGUGCUUGAGUGGCGAACGGGUGAGUAACACGUGAGUAACCUGCCCUUGACUUUGGGAUAACUUCAGGAAACUGGGGCUAAUACCGGAUAGGAGCUCCUGCUGCAUGGUGGGGGUUGGAAAGUUUCGGCGGUUGGGGAUGGACUCGCGGCUUAUCAGCUUGUUGGUGGGGUAGUGGCUUACCAAGGCUUUGACGGGUAGCCGGCCUGAGAGGGUGACCGGCCACAUUGGGACUGAGAUACGGCCCAGACUCCUACGGGAGGCAGCAGUGGGGAAUAUUGCACAAUGGGCGGAAGCCUGAUGCAGCGACGCCGCGUGCGGGAUGACGGCCUUCGGGUUGUAAACCGCUUUCGCCUGUGACGAAGCGUGAGUGACGGUAAUGGGUAAAGAAGCACCGGCUAACUACGUG